GAAUUGUCGUUGUUUAAGUCGCUCUGGAUAAGAGCGUCUGCUAAAUGACUUAAA
rfam:Salmo salar isolate Sally breed double haploid chromosome ssa01, whole genome shotgun sequence.